rnacentral:ncRNA from 1 species
GAAAAAUGACAUGCAAUAACUCGUAUAAUUCAGCAAUAUGGGCUGAAAGUUUCUACAAACUACCGUAAAUAGUUAUAGCUAUGAGUUCCUAAAUGAUACAA